UUUUUUCUCACUUCAGAGCUCCGCCGGGGCUGCACGACUCUCUGGCGAUGAACGCAGCCAGAAGCGGCUACCGGGUCUUCUCGGCCAACUCCACGGCAGCCUGCACCGAGCUGGCCAAGAGGAUCACGGAUGCUGAUGAUCCCUCCUGGUAAAAGAGUUGGAGCCAGCGAUGAAAACUGACUGCUUUCCGCCUUUUGAGUCUCUGACACCCAUUUUGAUGCUGGGAAGGCCGGAUUGCAGUAAAGGCUAUGAGCGCAGUGGUGAUAGAACCAGAGCUGACCUGAACGAGCGGCGCCUGGAAACUUCUUUGGGGUUGGCAUCUUGAACCCACAGACCGUGGGCACAAGCCCCACCAGAUCCACUCUCUGUCCUGCCUUGGGAGACCGUUGUGAUGGAUGAAGCCUGAAGUCGUGAACUCAAUGUUUUGAAGGGAUGGCCAUGGACUAAGGGAAUGGUAUCUGUGUGUGUA
rnacentral:lncRNA from 1 species